AAAAUAAAAAAAAUUUUUGGACACAAAUUGCUUUUAAUAUUUUUUUGACACAUUCUCUUUAUCUAGUCAUAUUUGUAAAUACACUUAUAAUAGAAUAGGAAAAAAGAGAGUUUGCUCUUGAUCUCUGUAUGCUUUGUCUUAUUUUUUGUUUCUUAUUUUACUUUUCGUUUAAUUUUAAAAUAGGUUAUCAACACAAAUUUUAUAAAUUAUUAAAGAUAUCAACGACACAAAUAGCCGAAUGAUGAGUUUACAUAUAGCAAAGGAGGACAAUUAGCAGUAGUGUUCCUCAUGGAGGUCACUGUUGACGAAAUUGCAUAAUUCAUUGAUCCGACCUAACUUCACGCAAAGUAACCAUCUCUACUAGACUAAUUAGGACAUCUAUGUAAUAAGUUAGCUCAUUUGAUAACUUUACUGUAAUUACUAGUCCGUCUACGGAGUAUGUUUUACAUAACUAUUCUGUAAUUCCUUAGCAUUAUAAAUAUAAUAUUAUCCUUGUAACCUAUAUAAUUGAGUAAUAAAUUUACAUAGGCUUGGGGUGAGACUCAUUGCACGUUGGCAUAAUAUGUCAUUGAUUAAGGGUAAGAUAGUAAAUUUAAGUGUCAUCGCACCAAGAGGAUAAUACAUCAAGUUAAAAUUUUGGCCUAACAUUUUUAGUUCGAUUCCUAUCAUAUUAUGGCCUAAAAUGCUUUUAUAAUGAUAAGAUAUUGAUUCAAGU